CGGUGUUUAACUGGCGUGAUGUGGGACGUCCUACCGGUGGGCUUAGCCUCGCGAGGGGCGGCCCAACUAAUAUCCCGUCGCGGUGCUCUUUACUGAGUGUCGAGUCGGGCCGGUACGUUUACUUUGAACAAAUUAGAGUGCUUAAAGCAGGCUAUCCUCGCCUGAAUACUGCGUGCAUGGAAUAAUGGAAUAGGACCUCGGUUCUAUUUUGUUGGUUUUCGGAACCCCGAGGUAAUGAUUAAUAGAGACAGAUGGGGGCAUUCGUAUUGCGACGUUAGAGGUGAAAUUCUUGGAUCGUCGCAAGACGGACAGAAGCGAAAGCAUUUGCCAAAAAUGUUUUCAUUAAUCAAGAACGAAAGUUAGAGGUUCGAAGGCGAUCAGAUACCGCCCUAGUUCUAACCAUAAACGAUGCCAGCUAGCGAUCCGCCGAAGUUCCUCCGAUGACUCGGCGGGCAGCUUCCGGGAAACCAAAGCUUUUGGGUUCCGGGGGAAGUAUGGUUGCAAAGCUGAAACUUAAAGGAAUUGACGGAAGGGCACCACCAGGAGUGGAGCCUGCGGCUUAAUUUGACUCAACACGGGAAACCUCACCAGGCCCAGACACCGGAAGGAUUGACAGAUUGAUAGCUCUUUCUUGAUUCGGUGGGUGGUGGUGCAUGGCCGUUCUUAGUUGGUGGAGCGAUUUGUCUGGUUAAUUCCGAUAACGAACGAGACUCUAGCCUGCUAAAUAGGCGUACCUUAUGGUAUCGCGAAGGCCCCCGGCUUCGGCCGGUGGGUUUUUACUACCAACGUACAAACAAAUCUUCUUAGAGGGACAGGCGG
rnacentral:rRNA from 1 species